GAGUUUGAUCAUGGCUCAGAGCGAACGCUGGCGGCAGGCUUAACACAUGCAAGUCGAGCGGGCGUAGCAAUACGUCAGCGGCAGACGGGAGAGUAACACGUGGGAACGCGCCCUUCGGUUCGGAAUAACUCAGGGAAACUUGAGCUAAUACCGGAUACGCCCUUACGGGGAAAGAUUUAUUGCCGAAGGAACGGCCCGCGUCUGAUUAGCUAGUUGGUGAGGUAAUGGCUCACCAAGGCGACGACGGGUAGCUGGUCUGAGAGGAUGGCCAGCCACAUUGGGACUGAGACACGGCCCAGACUCCUACGGGAGGCAGCAGUGGGGAAUCUUGCGCAAUGGGCGAAAGCCUGACGCAGCGACGCCGCGUGUGGGAUGACGGCCUU
rnacentral:rRNA from 1 species